rnacentral:rRNA from 1 species
UACAGAGGGUGCGAGCGUUGUUCGGAAUUACUGGGCGUAAAGCGCGUGUAGGCGGCCUGUUAAGUUCCGUGUGAAAGCCCUGGGCUUAACCCAGGAAGUGCGCGGGAAACUGGCAGGCUGGAGUGUCGGAGAGGAUGGUGGAAUUCCCGGUGUAGAGGUGAAAUUCGUAGAUAUCGGGAGGAACACCUGUGGCGAAGGCGGCCAUCUGGACGAUGACUGACGCUGAGACGCGAAAGCGUGGGGAG